rnacentral:lncRNA from 1 species
GAUGGGGAGUGGGUGUGUUUGAAGACUGAGAUAAGAUCUCUGGAGAGGCAAGGAAACAUUUUCUCUAUUCAUGUAUUUUAAACUUCAGGAAGAGCUCAUUUGGGCACGUAGUUUUUUUUCUUUGUUUUUUUUCUUUUUUUUUUUUUUUUUAAACAACAACAACAAAAGCAUUUAUUCAGCUGAUUUCUUAUCUUUGCUCUUCAAUGAUUGUUUCUUUUCCCCCCUUCAGUUAAUUUGUAUCCCAGCCUUUAUUUGUGUGUGAAAGAUAUGUAAAAUAUUAAAUUAGUCUUUCCUUUAGAUUACUAUCUCUUUUUCCUCUUACUGCUUUUUCUUAAAACUACAGACUUGCUCCUAGCUCAGGCCUCCAGAAGAACAGCAUACCUUCACCUUUUUCUCACAGCCUCCCAUCUGCUAACUUCCUUUUGUUCACUAACUAGUGAAAAGGAUUAUUCCUUGUGCAAGGGAACAAGUGUUUCAAUUAUUCCCUACAGAAAUGCUUGCUAAUUAUCUUUCAGGUUGAACAGUCUCAGGAUGUGGUCUGUAUGUUAGCACUGAGUCAUCUCUCUGGAUCCAAAAGAAUUCAUUUGUAGAAGAAAGCAGAAGAAGCUGCCCUGAGCCACCACAAGCAAUCUGCCACAAUUACACUAGCAAGGAUAAACACUUACUUAAGAGCCUGAUACAAACCUCUGUGCUGCUGAAUGCCUAGCUGAUGGUAUGCAAGAAAACAGGAGGCUUCAGGAGUCAGUUCUCCCAAGAUGGACCCACCCAGCACAAGAAAGAAGUGGCCCUGUUGGAGAGAAUCUGGAGGAGACCAUGAGAAUGCUCAGAAAGCUUAAGCACCUCUCCUCUGAAGACCGGCUGAGGGAGAUGAGCUUGUUCAGCUUGGAGAAGUCCCUGUGGAGACCUCAUUCUGGCCUUUCGGUGCUUAAAGAGAGUUUACAAGAAAGAUGGAGAGCAACUUUACAUGGACAUGCAGUGAUAAGACAAGAGGUAAUGUCUUUAUACUAAAAGAGAGGUGAUUUAGAUUAAUUAUAAGGAAGGAUUUUUUCACUUGGA